rnacentral:lncRNA from 1 species
UCUUCAUAAGCCUUGGUUUCUUUCUUUCAUUCAUGAGUUGCGAUCUGCUCCUCUUCUCUAGUUGAGUGUAGUGGUCUGUCAAUACGACGGACAAGUCUUGUGGUCUGUCAAUACGACGGUCAAAAGACAGUCGUGGGUUGAGAAUUCCUAAUAGAGGUUGAGCACUCAGAGGCCGGAAGUGCCCGUUAAGCUCCCUUUACUUGGAACUGACCCUCGUCUGUUAAACCGACUUAGUCAAUACGACAUUCCCCGAGCCUUAGCUUAGUCAAUACGACAUUCCGCGAACCUCGUCUAGUGUAUUAUGGUAUCAGAGCCUCAACUCAUGUUAUGAUUGAAUGAAUCAUUGUUUAUGAAUGAUUGUUGUGAAUGUUCUGGAAAACGAUCCCUUACUCAUGUCAAUUUCAAAUCCAGCCAUGGAUCUCUGUUAUUGAGCUCUGAAGGCUAGUUUGCCUUUUGAUGUAAUUUUCCGUCAGCUGAUCAACCUUGUAAUUUAUUGUUUUGAGGAGUUGAUUUUGAGCGAUGGCAUUCCGCGAGCCUUAGCUUAGUCAAUACGACAUUCCGCGAACCUCGUCUAGUGUAUUAUGG